GAAAAUAUUUUGACGUUAUCACAUACUGUAACAACAAAAAGGAAAGCAAAAUAAAAAAGAAAAACUCUUGCUGGGGAGGGUUUCCCUGUUUCUUUUUUUACAUGUCGACUGCAAUUCGUUUAUACAACUCAGCUGGUAAUCUGGGAGUGGCAACGGCCUGUAAUGGAGUCCUCAUGUAGGUAACAAGCCCUGGGUUCUCACCCAUAUCAAUCUCCUCUGGGCUCAAUCCAUUAGAAGGAGUCCAACGAAAAUGGUGCAAUAGAUGGCCCAACAUAGAGGUCACCAAGUUGAUACCUAAUUGUGCCCCUGGACACACUCUUCUACCAGCACCAAAUGGGAGUAGCCUAUAAUCAUGACCCUUCAUGUCCACGUCUUCCUCAAGGAACCUCUCCGGUCUGAACUCCAAUGGGUUAUUCCACACCUUGAGGUCGCGAGCAACAGCCCAGACAUUCACAUGCACGUUGGAGCCCUUUGGAAUGUCGUAGCCACCGAUCUUGACGUUGGCGUUGGCUCUAUGUGGGAGCAUUAGAGGAGUUGGAGGGUGUAGCCUUAGCGCUUCCUUGGCCACGCAUUGCAGGUAUGGGAGGUUGGGGAAGUCUGUUUCGUUCAUUACUCGCUCGUACCCAAUCACUUGGUCGAGUUCUUCUUGGGCCUUCUGCUGCACUCUUGGGUUCUUGAUCACCUCAGCCAUUGCCCAUUCAACAGAGAUUGCAGUUGUGUCCAUUCCUGCUGUGAUCAUGUCCCAAAGUAAACCAAUGAGAGUGUCUUCACUUAGGUCAUAUUUCUGUUGGAGGGUCAACAAUGCAUCAAAAAAGUGCUGCUUGGCGGCUCCUCCACUCUUCUGGCGAGCAAGGGUGUGCUCCUCCAUAAUAGCUCGGGUGAGACGGUCUCUACGUUCCCCGUGCUUAGAAAAAGCAUCCUCAUCAAGAGGGAACAUCCAGCGAAGCCAUGGGAUGUGUUCGGCCAUGGCAAGGGAUGCUCCAAGCUUCAACCCGUUGGCAACAAUCGCCUUGAACUCAUUUCCUUGUUCAUCAAUUACACCUUCGAAGUUUUCAAACCUCUUCCCAAAUGCAAGCCUUGUAAUGUUGUUGAAGGCCACUGCUCCAAGGUACUUCUUCACUAGCAGACUCUUCCCUAGGUUAUCAGGACUACUGCAAUCUCUGUAAAUGGACUCCACCAUGGCAGUGACUUCAUCUUCUCGAAUAGGUCUAAGGGAUUCAAGCCUUUUGGCCGUAAAAAGCUCAAUCGUACAAACCUUUCUAACCUUAACAUAAUGAGGUCCAUAAUCAGCCCAUAUCAGAUCUUGUCCAUCUCUGCUAAACUUCGCCGCCGAUCUGCUCCUAUGCCGAUCAGCCAACUGCUGGUCCUUUUCUUUCAGAACUUCCUUCGCUAACUCCGAGCUGGAAACGACGACGUUUAAAGUCGACCCGAACCAAACCGAAAUUACAGGUCCGUAGGUUUCUGCCCACUCGUAAAAGCAUCGGAAUCUAACGGGCUUAAUCUGGUAAAGGUUUCCGACUACCGGCCAUGGAGUUGGGCCGGGCGGGAGCUUGAAUCGGAGACGGUAGUAGAGAUGAUAAAGUACGUAUGUGAAAAUGAAAGCUAGAGGAAUUGCA
rnacentral:misc_RNA from 1 species